rnacentral:rRNA from 1 species
UACGGAGGGGGCUAGCGUUGUUCGGAAUUACUGGGCGUAAAGCGCACGUAGGCGGCUUUGCAAGUUAGAGGUGAAAGCCCGGGGCUCAACUCCGGAAUUGCCUUUAAAACUGCAUCGCUAGAGUUGUGGAGAGGUAAGUGGAAUUCCGAGUGUAGAGGUGAAAUUCGUAGAUAUUCGCAAGAACACCAGUGGCGAAGGCGGCUCACUGGCCCGAUACUGACGCUGAGGCACGAAAGCGUGGGGAGCAAACAGG